UACGUAGGGAGCAAGCGUUGUUCGGAUUUACUGGGCGUAAAGGGCGCGUAGGCGGCAAUUCAAGUCAUCUGUGAAAUCUCCGGGCUUAACUCGGAACGGUCAGAUGAUACUGUUUUGCUAGAGUGCAGAAGGGGCAAUCGGAAUUCUUGGUGUAGCGGUGAAAUGCGUAGAUAUCAAGAGGAACACCUGCGGCGAAGGCGGGUUGCUGGGCCGACACUGACGCUGAUGCGCGAAAGCUAGGGGAGCGAACGGG
rnacentral:rRNA from 1 species